UACGUAGGGACCAAGCGUUGUCCGGAAUUAUUGGGCGUAAAGAGCUCGUAGGCGGUUUGUCGCGUCUGCUGUGAAAACCUAAGGCUCAACCUUGGGCUUGCAGUGGGUACGGGCAGACUAGAGUGCGGUAGGGGUGACUGGAAUUCCUGGUGUAGCGGUGGAAUGCGCAGAUAUCAGGAGGAACACCGAUGGCGAAGGCAGGUCUCUGGGCCGCAACUGACGCUGGAGGAGCGAAAGCAUGGGGAGCGAACAGG
rnacentral:rRNA from 1 species